GCUGCUCUCGAGGGUGGCAGCAACGCCCAGUGUUCUCUGGCGCAAGACCACGGGAGUUGAAAACAUGGCUUCAUCAUGCGGAUCUGAGAAGCUUGUGGCAAAUUACCUAAACCUUCUGUGUCUCAGUUCCUCAUCUGUGAAGUGAGCAACGUAACCUACUUGCUCCACAUGACUGACAUCUCUGAGCCAGCGCCAAUCCCCGGGGACCCACCAGCGACCUGGCAGCUGUUCUUCUUGCACAGAAUUCAGUUCCGCUCACUGCCAGCUGCGUGGCUGGACAGCUCAACGCUGCCACGGGCGCUCCCAGAACCUCCACGUCCCAGGUCCUCUGAGGGCUCCCUCCUGACCACGCUGGCCGACCUCCAGGGUUUUCUGGAGAAAGCACCUUCCCUCUGGUGAAAUGAAUUACCUGGUGGGAAUACAUCACCAACCACAGGACAGAGGUGGAGGGGACAGCGAAUUUUGCAAGUGACACAAUCGCUGGCGCUUCCCUGCUGUUCCACCCCGAAUCCGGCGGCGCAGACACCAGUUCCCGUGCAGCCAGCCUGCCCCGCUCACCCCGGCAUUCGUGUCUCCCAUUGCCCUGUCCCAGGCUUGCUCCCAGGAAUGCACCAGAAAUCGUGAGUGGGUAAGAAGGAACGGCAACGAGAAAGAUUAAGAGGCAACCACUGUCUUGGGGAGCAGUGAUACUCCCUGAGGUCGCCAUUUGCCUGAAAACAGAGCAUGGAGUCAUGCAGACAGUGACACGUUACCUGGAAACACCAAGCCCUCGUGCACAUUGUGUGUGAAAGUCUAGGUGCCCUCUGCGCUAUUUGGAGAAGGUGCGAAGAUGCCCUCCCGAGCCCAGUGGUUAGGAAUCAGGUACCAAAGUCCAGCAGACCAGGGUGGGCUGCACUUGAUCUACUGAUUCCCAAUGACAUGACCCGAGACCAGUAUGUGACCUCCUCGUACCUCCACUGUCUCUUCUAGAAAUGAGAAUAGUGUAGUCCUUGCCUCAUGAAGGGCUCUAAGGACCAAGAAGCGGAAGGCUGAACCCUUCACAGCGGCUCUGGAGGGAAGCGGUAACCCCCUAGAGAGACCCAUGUCUGUCUCGGUUCUGCCAUCCCCCUGGCAAUGACUUAUCUCCUUCCCUCCCACACAAGGACACCUGAUUCCCUACAGACUCUUCCCCCUGCCAGGCAUCCAUCCCAGAGGACUUGCCUCCCCUCCUGCCUCGUUCUUGGCUGUGUUCUUGGCUUUGAGACAGGUUUCUUAAAUUGUUUUCCGGAGUUGCAAGUGACUCAGCCGUUGCUUAGGGAUUUAAUUAACUGGCAGUCUGAGGCUUGAAAGAGACAAGCCUCUGGGGACUUCUCCCUUCCUUGGUUGGUUGGGAGCAGGGUGAGAAUGGAAUGAGAAAUCCUCUAGAACUACACUGUCCAGUGUGGGAGCCACUGCACACGUGGCCACUGAGAACUUGAACUGUGCAACCUAAAGAAAGAUGUGCUUUAUGUACCAUGUAGGUGCAGAGGACCCAAGCACUUGGGCCACCCUCGGCUGCUUUCUCAGGCACAUUGCUAGGGAGCUGGAUCAGCAGUGGAGCAGCCAGGACUCGAACCAUUGCCCAUAUGGUAUGGCAGCACUGCAGACAGCAGCUUAACUGGCUGAGCCACAAUGCUGCCUCAAUAAUUUUUAAUUUAUUAUAAGUUGAAAUAAUAUUUUUGAUUUAUUGGUUUCACUUUUUAAAAUGUGGCUACUAGGCCAUUUAAAAGUACCUCUGUGACUGUGGAUGGUAGUGUUCUAGAACAUUCAUAAUUUAAUAAUUUAAUAACUCACCAACACUUCUUGGAAGUGACUUUAAUGUAGGUCUAUCUCAGUCCAUUUUGUGCUGCUAUAAAACAUACUUAGGGGCUGGUGCUGCGGUAUAGCGGGUAAAGCCACCGCCUGCAGUGCUGGCAUCCCAUUGUUAGACCCUCGGAGUGAGGAUGCUAACACGUCGAGAGGCACACCCCAAAGACUCAGAGUCCAGAUCAGCUGAUGCAAAAGCAAGAGGAUUUAUUCGGCGUCUGCAAAGACGGACCUCCUGAACUCGGGAGUCCAGAGAGUGCCCCCAGCACAAAGCCACACAGUUUAUAUACCCGCAGCGACCAAUCAAAAGCACUAUAGAGUCCAUGCAUACAGCAGUCCAAUCCGCGAGCUGAUCAUGUGAAGGGCAUGCGUCUUCUAUCCAAUCAGCUACGGGAUCACAUGGGAGGCAUGCACCUUGUCGCCAUUUUGUUGUUUACUUCUUUAGUAGUUCCUUUCCCUGCCAGCCCAUCUUGUUCACCCUGAGGGGGACGACGUCUCGCUCCCUUUGUUCCCCUGGUGGGAGAGCGGUGUCCACUUCCCACACUGUUAUUUGAGUAUUAGGAGGCAUACAAACUGGGUUAGGUCUUAGCACAGCCAGGCACAAGUGUCGCAGCUAGCUAAGCAUAGGGUCCCUUAUUUUUAUAGCUGCACCUAAUUUUAGCUUUGGGGGAAAAAGUUUAGGGCUAUAAUUUUUAACUUUAAUUUUAUUUGGGGCAAAGGUAACUUCUUGUUUUUAAUGGUAUUGGCUUAGGUCACUCCAUCUUGGUUUGA